GGUAGGGUGGCUGAGUAAGCGGUGGAUUGUAGCCCCACAUACAGAGGUUUUAGCCCUCUCCCUAUCA
rnacentral:tRNA from 1 species